GACAACCAGCAGUCAAUGACCAACUGAUCCAGUACCAGGGCCAGCCCCCGGCCUGAAGUGGGACUACUCUGAUACUACAGUCCACGCUCCAGAGCUCCAUGUAGCAUCAGGCUGAAGCCGGACACCAGUUAUUCAUAGGUUCCUCCAAACCAGAGAUAUGAACCAACCUGGCCAUGGUCCAGGAAAGGCUUGAUAUUAGCGACUCUGAAGACGAGAAGCGGGUGUUUAGGGCGAGCCUCGAUUUCCAUGCCUAUGUUGGCACAGAGGCCACCAUGGGAUUUGACGGGGAGGGCUGCAGGACAACCAGAAACCCUCCUGGGGGAGAGUGGGGAGCAGACUCCAAGGGCAUCACUCUGGAUCCCUAACCACAGGUGAGUGACAAGCUGGCUGUCUACCUCCAGGGGGCCGGUGAUGAGAAGCAGGUGGGCUCCUUUCCUGGCCUCCUGGGACCCCAGGGGGAUGAGGGAGCAAGGCUGGGAAGCUCAGGGGUCAGUUAGGCUUGGGCUGGGAAUUGGGCGGG
rnacentral:lncRNA from 13 species